CAAUGUAGCUCAGUGGUUGAGUGCAUACCUGGCAUGCAUAAGGACCUGGGUUCAACCCCCAGCACUG
rnacentral:tRNA from 1 species